rnacentral:tRNA from 1 species
GAUUAAAUGGCUGAUAAAAGCAAUAGAUUGUAAAUCUAUAUAUAAAAUUAAUUAUUUUUUUAAUCA